GGGGAUGUAAAGGCUUCGACGGGGAUUGCAAACCUUGAUAAGCGAGCGGCGGUGCGGAACCGCCAUAAAAUCCGCAACUUUAAAAUUAACUGACAAAAAUACAGUUGAAUUAGCAGCUGCCUAAGGCGCUGCUCGUCCUGCCUGUGAGUACCACGGCACAGGUUUGGGCGUCGAUUAGUGGUAAAUGUGAACAGAGGUCUGCUCCGCCCUUUGUCACACAUCAGGAGCUGCCGAGCCGCAAAGCCUGUCGUUGGGCGCUGCGGUAAGGGAGAUUUAAAACAGCGACUACGCUCGUAGAAACUCUUGGCAAGCAGUUUUCGGACACGGGUUCGACUCCCGUCAUCUCCACCA
rnacentral:tmRNA from 1 species